ACUUAUGCCAUGAAUACCCAAGAUUUACCUAAAACAAUAACCAUAAAAAAGGAAGAUAAUAAAAACAACAAAAAAGGUUUAACUUUAUACUCAGUAAAAAAACUUAAAAUGAAGUGAAGAUAAACAAUCUUAAAUAAAAACUCAGUAGACAAUGAACAAAUAAAUGAAAAAAGAAACAAAAGAAAAAUACAAGAGAAGAACUCAUCAACAAUGAGAGUUCAUUCUCACUGAGUGCUUGAAUAAAACAAAACAAACACAACUAUCCAACAAAACCUAAUGUAACUGAAAUCGGUAGAGAACACACUCAAAAACGCAACAUGAAUGUUAAUCGAAAAUGAAAUAAAAGAACCAACACAAACACACAACGACAGCAAAUGGAGAGAAACAAAAAUACACCAACCGACACGAAACGUAACUAUUGAGCUGCGAAUGCUUCAGCACAGAACCGAAUUGUAUGUUUAUUGUUGUUACGAAUCAAAGCUGAGUUGAGAGCUGUUGAAUUUAAAAUGUGUUGUUGCUGCAAAGUGAUGGAAAUCUUGGAUGCGGAGUGUGUUUCCAUUUUGUUGCAAGGUUGUUGUUGAAUAUUAUAAGGCUUUUCCUUCAAACUAAGUAGGAACCAAAACACGACAUGUUACUUUAUUUCCAAUAAUUAUUGCAGAAAAACUAAAACCAAAAGAGGACAUGUUAAACAACCAUGAUGUUGCAUCAACAGAAGCUUCCAUAUCACUCUUACUGACGACAUACUGAACUAGAAAAUCCAAAUAGAAACUAGAUUUUUCAUUUGUGUGCACCGCGAGUUUCAAAACCGCACAACUUUGUUUGUGAAGAAAAUGAAAUAACAAAAAAGAAAAGUGUGUUGACGGCGAUGGAAAGAGUAUUUGAAAUCACAUGAUGGUUGUUGUGGAGGAUGGUGCGUACAUGUGAAUUUGGAGAUGGAUAUUUGUGUAGGUGGUUUUUGAUGGUUGUGUGUUGUUUAUUUGCAAUAUCACGGUGGAGCUGAGUUAUUGUCGUGUUGUUCUUCGAAGUAGCAGGGGGUUUUAAUGUGGUUAACAAACUGAAGAAGGUGUCUGGUUGUUGUUCAUCGGAGCUAGGGCGGAGCUCACGGUACUGUUAA
rnacentral:lncRNA from 1 species